ACCAGGGGAGGGAUCUCUCCCUCGGCCACUGGCAAGUGUGCGGGCUGCAAGUUUGCUCUGGGCAUAAACUUUUUACUUGUUUCAUAGUGAGACAGUGAGAGGAAAUGCAACAGCCCCGCCGUUCCAGAGUAAUGAGAUACCAGGUCUCUCAGACGACAAGCGUCGUUACGGCGCGGGUGGAGCGGCCAUUUCCUCAGGGAGCUGACGCUUCCGGAGCGGCGGUCGCCGCGACAGCGCACGAGCCAGGGCUCACACCGCACGCCUGCUUCUGUUCCCUUGAACUUCCUGCAUGCACGUCUGAUCGAACACUCGCAUUCCUGCCCCGUGGACGGUGAGGCAAGGUCAGGGCCUGGCGCCGGAGCCCCCGCCCGGAUGACAGCAGCGAACCCAGCACCCUGCUGCUGGGUGCUCACCUGUGUUCCUCGGGCAGCAAGCCUGGUGCCGGUGAGAGCGGGGGGGCCCUUCCGCGCAGGUGAGGGUGUUCCUGCCCCCUCUGCUCCACCGGCUCCCACCAGCCCCGUAGAAGGGCUCACCCUUGGCAUUUUCCGGGGCUCUGAGAAUAGGAUCUGAUUUCUGGACAGGACCCAAAGCAAAGGCCAUGCCCUGUUCAGGGCACCCCGGCCCCCAUCACUCACACAGCCAAGGGGAUGGAGAUGGUCUGGUCAAGAUCGCCCUCGGACCCCAAGGGGGACACUGACGCGGACAGUUAACGGGGAGCUGCGGGCUGGGUCCAGGCAUUCUGUCCCUUUCAACACGAACAUAUGUAUUUAUAGUGUAAUAUAUGCAAACAAAAUUUAAGUUCAUAUGCGUGUGGGUUUCAUAUUUAUACCUUUUUCUGUUGCUGAAAUGGAAAACCGCUGCUAAAUAUAUACACAUACAUAUAGAAGUCAUACGUAUAUGAUUUAUGUUGAGUUCAGCGUACUUAAUGUUUUAUCUCUUUAGUAGACGUGAAAUAAC